GCCGGUGUAGCUCAAGUGGUAGAGCAACUGACUUGUAAUCAGUAGGUUGGGGGUUCAAGUCCUCUCGCCGGCA
rnacentral:tRNA from 1 species